CCACAAAGGGGAAAAGGGCCGGAAUCUACCCCAAAAAGUCUCGGGGCCAGCAGCUAGGACGAAGUCAAUCGCCACAACUUCCAAAACAAAUCUCCCCAACAAACAACUAAAAAAAGAAACAUUAGUAAAAUGUCAACUAGUGAUAAAGAAUACAGUUCGACACAAAAAAACAGUUUGACAAAAAAAACAGGAAAUACUAACAGAAGAAAAGAUUCGACAGGACUGUUUAAAAGAAGUUGAUGUGGUCGCGGAUGAGGCCUUGCCCUUGCCCAUCGGUACUGCCAACGGAGGCUCUGUCGGCUGAUUAAUAACUUAGUAGGGUGGGGCAAGACUGGUUUCGGGGCAAGACGGGUUUCUUAUUAAAUUUAUUAUUCAAUUUGCAGGUAAACGUAUAAAUAUUUUUUUCUUUAUUGACUGGCCUUAUGACGUAUCUUGUAAACAAAAUGCACUGGCAUGUGUUUUUAAGUGCGUCCUGAAACAGCACCGUUCACAAAGAUGCCGAGGGAAAGAAAGUUGUUUGUCCAAAAUUGGUUGGAAGUACACUGGCACACAACCGCAAAGAAUGAUGUCCGAAAAAAAGAAUGCGUUUAAAGGAGAGGUCCAGUCAAAACUGACCGACGUUGACAUUGAAAAUAUCGAAGACAAGCAGCUUUUGGAAGCUGUGGCACUGUUUGAAAGUCUUAAUGAGCAGUCGUGCAGUUCUUUUAAAAACCUCUUCGUUCGAGUGCACCAAGCCAAGCGUGUGUUUGCCUCGUAGACGGGAGGCGACUCUUCCGGUGUCGAAGUCACACUUUAUGUCAGAAAACAAAGGAGUGAAACGUCGUGUUGAAACCCGCGGCCUUAAAUCAGGUUUGGUGGGCGCCACCGCAGCCUCCUGUGAUAUGUGCACCCAGCCGCCGAAAAUGGAUC